AUUGAACGCUGGCGGCAUGCUUUACACAUGCAAGUCGAACGGUAACAGGCCGCAAGGUGCUGACGAGUGGCGAACGGGUGAGUAAUGCAUCGGAACGUGCCCAGUCGUGGGGGAUAACGCAGCGAAAGCUGCGCUAAUACCGCAUACGAUCUGUGGAUGAAAGCGGGGGACCGUAAGGCCUCGCGCGAUUGGAGCGGCCGAUGUCAGAUUAGGUAGUUGGUGGGGUAAAGGCUCACCAAGCCAACGAUCUGUAGCUGGUCUGAGAGGACGACCAGCCACACUGGGACUGAGACACGGCCCAGACUCCUACGGGAGGCGGCAGUGGGGAAUUUUGGACAAUGGGCGCAAGCCUGAUCCAGCAAUGCCGCGUGCAGGAAGAAGGCCUUCGGGUUGUAAACUGCUUUUGUACGGAACGAAACGGUCCUGGUUAAUACCUGGGGCUAAUGACGGUACCGUAAGGAUAAGCACCGGCUAACUACGUGCCAGCCGCCGCCGUAACAC
rnacentral:rRNA from 1 species